rnacentral:rRNA from 1 species
CUGCUUAAUAGCUAGCCCACCAAAUCAAAAAAAGAACAGAUAUUAAUUUAUCCAAACACACUAAAUUUUAGCUAAACAAACCAUUUUUCCGCUCAAGUAUGGGUGACAGAAACAGAA